GCAUACGUGGCGGAAUGGUAGACGCGUCAGCUUGAGGGGCUGGUGGGGCGAUGCCCCGUGGAGGUUCGAGUCCUCUCGUGUGCA
rfam:Marinilactibacillus sp. 15R, complete genome.